rnacentral:rRNA from 1 species
GACGAACCGUGCGAACGUUGUUCGGAAUCACUGGGCUUAAAGGGCGCGUAGGCGGGCAAGCAAGUCAGGGGUGAAAGCCCACGGCUCAACCGUGGAAGUGCCUUUGAUACUGCUGGUCUUGAGGGAGGUAGGGGCGUGCGGAACUUCCGGUGGAGCGGUGAAAUGCGUAGAUAUCGGAAGGAACACCGGUGGCGAAAGCGGCGCGCUGGAUCUCUUCUGACGCUGAGGCGCGAAAGCCAGGGGAGCAAACGGG